ACCUAACCCACCCUGUCAACUUUCCCUGUGGGAGGAAACCGGAGUACCCGGGGGAAACCCACGGCUUUCGGCAGAGCGUUGACUUUUUUACUCUUUUCACAUGGGGACUGGGUUCGAGUCGCACUGAGAAGGUACUUAGUGAGACUCGAACCUGCAGCCUCAGAGGUGAAAGGCAAGUGCGCUAACCACUUGGCCACCGAAGCCCCUAAUACCAGCACCAAGAUAGCUAUAAGCCUUAUUUCAUCUUUUUACAGUAUCCAAUUACUUCUUGCAUUGUUGGCCUUUUUCCUGCGUCUAUAUGUGUACAAUUUUGCACCAUUUUUUUUAC